rnacentral:rRNA from 1 species
GACGAACGCUGGCGGCGUGCUUAACACAUGCAAGUCGAACGGAAAGGCCCUGCUUGCAGGGUAUUCGCGAGGCGAACGGGGGUGUAACACGUGGGUGUACUGUGCUGCACUUCGUGGUAUGCCUUGGAAACUGGGUCGAAUAUCGGAUAUGAGCCAUCCUUAGUCUGGUGGUGGGAAAGAUUUUUUGGUGUGGGGUGGGUUGGCGGGCUAUCUGUCUGUUGGUGGGGUAAUGGCCUACCAACGCGGCGACGGGUAGCCGGCCGGAGUGGGUGGACGGCCACAUUGGGGCUGGGAUACCGGCCAGACUCCUACGGGAGGCAGCAGUGGGGAAUAAUGCCAAAUGGGCGCAAGCCUGAUUCAGCGACGCCGCGUGGGGGGUGACGGGCUUCCGGUUGGAAACUCCUUUCGCUAGGGACGAAGCUUUUUGUGACGGUACCUAGAUAAGAAGCACCGGCUAACUACGUG